AGUCAGUAGCUGUGUUCAGUGGGUCAGUGUGUUCGGUCAGUAGCUGUGUUCAGUGGGUCAGUGUGUUCAGUCAGUAGCUGUGUUCAGUGGGUCAGUGUGUUCAGUCAGUAGCUGUGUUCAGUGGGUCAGUGUGUUAAGUCAGUAGCUGUGUUCAGUGGGUCAGUGUGUUUAGUCAGUAGCUGUGUUCAGUGGGUCAGUGUGUUUAGUCAGUAGCUGUGUUCAGUGGGUCAGUGUGUUCAGUCAGUAGGUGUGUUCAGUGGGUCAGUGUGUUCAAUCAGUAGGUGUGUUCAGUCAGUAGCUGUGUUCAGUGGGUCAGUGUGUUCGGUGAGUAGCUGUGUUCAGUGGGUCAUUGUGUUCAGUCAGUAGCUGUGUUCAGUGGGUCAGUGUGUUCAGUCAGUAGGUGUGUUCAGUGGGUCAGUGUGUUCAAUCAGUAGGUGUGUUCAGUUGGUCAGUGUGUUCAGUCAGUAGGUGUGUUCAGUGGGUCAGUGUGUUCAGUCAGUGAGGGUGUUCAGUGGGUCAGUGUGUUCAGUCAGUAGCUGUGUUCAGUGGGUCAGUGUGUUUAGUCAGUAGCUGUGUUCCGUAUGUCAGUGUGUUUAGUCAGUAGCUGUGUUCAGUGGGUCAGUGUGUUUAGUCAGUAGCUGUGUUCAGUGGGUCAGUGUGUUUAGUCAGUUGCUGUGUUCAGUGGGUCAGUGUGUGUAGUCAGUAGCUGUGUUCAGGGGGUCAGUGUGUUCAGUCAGUGAGGGUGUUCAGUGGGUCAGUGUGUUCAGUCAGUAGCUGUGUUCAGUGGGUCAGUGUGUUCAGUCAGUAGCUGUGUUCAGUGGGUCAGUGUGUUCAGUCAGUAGCUGUGUUCAGUGGGUCAGUGUGUUCAGUCAGUAGGUGUGUUCAGUGGGUCAGUGUGUUUAGUCAGUAGCUGUGUUCAGUUGGUCAGUGUGUUCAGUCAGUAGGUGUGUUCAGUGGGUCAGUGUGUUCAGUCAGUGAGGGUGUUCAGUGGGUCAGUGUGUUCAGUCAGUAGCUGUGUUCAGUGUGUCAGUGUGUUCAGUCAAUAUGUGUGUUCAGUGGGUCAGUGUGUUCAGUCAGUAGCUGUGUUCAGUGGGUCAGUGUGUUCAGUCAGUAGCUGUGUUCAGGGGGUCAGUGUGUUCAGUCAGUGAGGGUGUUCAGUGUGUUCAGUCAGUAGCUGUGUUCAGUGGGUCAGUGUGUUCAGUCAAUAGGUGUGUUCAGUGGGUCAGUGUGUUCAGUCAGUAGCUGUGUUCAGGGGGUCAGUGUGUUCAGUCAGUGAGGGUGUUCAGUGGGUCAGUGUGUUCAGUCAGUAGCUGUGUUCAGUGGGUCAGUGUGUUCAGUCAGUAGCUGUGUUCAGGGGGUCAGUGAGGGUGUUCAGUGGGUCAGUGUGUUCAGUCAGUAGCUGUGUUCAGUGGGUCAGUGUGUUCAGUCAGUAGCUGUGUUCAGUGGGUCAGUGUGUUUAGUCAGUAGCUGUGUUCAGUGGCUCAGUGUGUUCGGUCAGUAGCUGUGUUCAGUGGGUCAGUGUGUUCAGUCAGUAGCUGUGUUCAGUGGGUCAGUGUGUUCAGUCAGUAGCUGUGUUCAGUGGGUCAGUGUGUUUAGUCAGUAGCUGUGUUCAGUGGGUCAGUGUGUUCAGUCAGUAGCUGUGUUCAGUGGGUCAGUGUGUUUAGUCAGUAGCUGUGUUCAGUGGGUCAGUGUGUUCAGUCAGUAGGUGUGUUCAGUGGGUCAGUGUGUUCAAUCAGUAGGUGUGUUCAGUCAGUAGCUGUGUUCAGUGGGUCAGUGUGUUCGGUGAGUAGCUGUGUUCAGUGGGUCAUUGUGUUCAGUCAGUAGCUGUGUUCAGUGGGUCAGUGUGUUCGGUGAGUAGCUGUGUUCAGUGGGUCAGUGUGUUCAGUCAGUAGGUGUGUUCAGUGGGUCAGUGUGUUCAGUCAGUGAGGGUGUUCAGUGGGUCAGUGUGUUCAGUCAGUAGCUGUGUUCAGUGGGUCAGUGUGUUCAGUCAAUAUGUGUGUUCAGUGGGUCAGUGUGUUCAGUCAGUAGCUGUGUUCAGUGGGUCAGUGUGUUCAGUCAGUAGCUGUGUUCAGGGGGUGAGUGUGUUCAGUCAGUGAGGGUGUUCAGUGGGUCAGUGUGUUCAGUCAGUAGCUGUGUUCAGUGGGUCAGUGUGUUUAGUCAGUAGCUGUGUUCAGUGGGUCAGUGUGUUUAGUCAGUAGCUGUGUUCAGUGGGUCAG